rfam:Aspergillus carbonarius ITEM 5010 unplaced genomic scaffold ASPCAscaffold_14, whole genome shotgun sequence.
GCCCUGCUGGCGCAAUGGUAGCGCGCAAGACUUCUACUUGUUCUCUGGAUUAGAAAUCCUAUCCUGGAAAAGAGAGAUCUUGAGGCUGUGGGUUCGACCCCCACGUAGGGCU